UCUCCUGGAAACGGGUGGUAAUGCCGGAUGUUCCACAUGAGCGCAUGCGAGUGUGGGAAAGGCUUUUUGCGGCAUGGGAUGGGGUCGCGUCCUAUCAGCUUGUUGGUGGGGUAACGGCCUACCAAGGCGUUGACGGGUAGCCGACCUGAGAGGGCGACCGGCCACAUUGGGACUGAGAUACGGCCCAGACUCCUACGGGAGGCAGCAGUGGGGAAUAUUGCACAAUGGGCGCAAGCCUGAUGCAGCGACGCCGCGUGCGGGAUGGAGGCCUUCGGGUUGUAAACCGCUUUUGUUCAAGGGCAAGGCACGGUUUCGGCCGUGUUGAGUGGAUUGUUCGAAUAAGCACCGGCUAACUACGUGCCAGCAGCCGCGGUAAUACGUAGGGUGCAAGCGUUAUCCGGAUUUAUUGGGCGUAAAGGGCUCGUAGGCGGUUCGUCGCGUCCGGUGUGAAAGUCCAUCGCUUAACGGUGGAUCCGCGCCGGGUACGGGCGGGCUUGAGUGCGGUAGGGGAGACUGGAAUUCCCGGUGUAACGGUGGAAUGUGUAGAUAUCGGGAAGAACACCA
rnacentral:rRNA from 1 species